AACUGCCAACCAGCAUGGCAGUCUCCUCUCAUGGGUGGAGAAUGUCUAAAGAAGCUGUACUCUCCUCCAAAUAUUCUGAGAUCCUAGCCUUCCAUCUAUCUCUGCAGACACUGCUUUGGUACAGUGGACUUGGGAAUCCUGAACAAACUAGGGCCUUUUGAGAAUCAGUAGAAUGGAUUGAAAGAGCUGCUGGGGGUUCAAGCACUUCACUGCAGUGCAGGAGAGUUCAGCCCUUCCCACUGCCCAUGACACUGUGGUGUCCUUAAGUGCAAGAACAGGGUUUCCCGGACACCUAUGUCCUGGGGUAUUAUAGAGCUCAUAGAUUAGCACUGUUUGCAGGGGAAGGGCCACGGGAGAUGGCAGUAUAUGGCCAAAUGCAGUUACAGCAGUGGCCAAAAGACAGAUAUAUCACUGGUUUACAUGUAGCAGUAUACUAAUACAAAUGUUUUGCCUGGGUCUCUAAUCACAGAAUAGUCUGAUUAAUUUAAAAUUAAACUAAAAUGUCCCAUUAAUAAUCGGUGACAAAAAUAACCAAAAAAUGACUCUGACAUUUCUCUGACAUGGAGAUAGUGUGCUAAAACAUUAUUCAGGUGAGUAAUAUUAAAUUAUUACUUAACAUAAAUGACCUGGUACAGUCUACUCCCUCCAUUUUUACAGGUCUGUCUUUGAAAUCUCUGGGGAAAAUCUAGGGUUGGAACUCAGGCUCCUCCUGAGACUUCAUACAGAGUUAGAAUAGGAUGAACAUAUCAAAUCCAUGGAACUGAGAGCCAAUGUAAGCAGAUGACACCAUUACAGGUUUAAAUAUAUGAUUUCUCACACUGCAUUUCCUCUCUGAUAAUACUCAGGGCCAAGAAGACCAUUAAAAAGAUCCUGGCUUAUUUGAUUUUCUUUCAACUCAUCUACAAUACCUCAGGUUCAUGUCUUCUUCUAUCAGGUUUUACAGCGGUUGAUUAAAUCUAGAGGAAAGUCACAAAGUAAACACUUGAAUGUUCAACUGGUGGCAGCUGAUAAACUUGCACAAUGCCCCCCAGUAAGUAUGAUCAUUUUUUGUCUUCAUCAUUCUUGACUAGUUAGAAGAGGGUGGGUUUUUUUUCUUCAUAUUGUCGUUUUCAUUCUAAAAUGAUGGUGAUGAUGGUAUGUUGUCAUCUAAAAGAUUUCUUGGAACAAACUGCUGCUGUUAUGUUGCUUGUAUUCAGGCAUCCAGAUGUGGAUGGUGUUUGCCUUGUAAUAAGAAAUGAACUUAGUGUCCGGGGUCUGCUCCUCUCACUGCUACCUUGUUUGCUUUGCAAACACGCAGCAAACCACUUAGCAUUCGGCCUCCAGUCACGUGGAUACGCUUAAGAAAAGAACGAAAGAAAACAUACCAAUUUGAUCUUCCUUUAACUUUUCUGCAAGAAAAUUCCAGCAGGCAUAAAAGAUUAUGACACUGAAGGUCAAGAAUUGAUUGGAACUAGAGAGGCCCUGUGGUUAUAGUAGAUGAAAGAGUCAGGGCUGAGUCAGAUGAAAAACGAAAUUAUAGCAACUCUUCUUCUAGUGCCAUUGCCAGAAAACAGCUGCUGGGUUAGAAGGUGAGCAAUGGUGGGAUGGGGUGGGAGAUGGAACUGCUAUCACAUGGCACUGGGUCCCCAGUGGCCAGUCUCUCCACUUUUUCCACUGACUUACUAUUUCUGUGCCUAUGUUUCUGUAAAGGAAAUAACUGUCCUUCAUUACUCAAUAGAUUCACUAGAUUGUUUUAUACAGUUAUGUAGGAUUGUUUAAGCUCUAUGGAAGCAUGAAAUCUGAUUCAAAUGUUUAGAGAAGGCAACACAGCAUAACCUGUAAAAGCACAGACUCUGGAGCCAGAUAUUUGGGUUUUGAAUCCACACUGACUAGUUAUGUAAUCUUGGGCAAGUACCUAUCUCAUGGGAUUGGUGUAAGGAUUGAGUGAGUGAAUAUGUGGUAAAGCUGUUAGAACAGUGCCAGGCACAUAAGAAGCACCGUCUCAGUUUUCUUAUUAUAAUUACUGGAUACACUUUGUGUGAUGUCAUGUCUGGUCCAGUAAACUCUGUAAGAACCUGUGCCUCUCUGGCUCACUGUUGUAUGUCAGUUCCCUAUCAUAGUAGACCCAUAAUAUAUAUUUGUGGAAUGAGUGAAUAAAUGAAAGGAUGUUCAGACGUUAAGAGUAAUAAUGCAUCCUUUCAUUAGAUGCUUACAGUGGGCCACACAGUGUGCUAGAUGCUUUACAUAGAUUAUCUCUAAUCUUCACAGUUACCUGGUGAGAUAGGCCAUAUUAUCCCCAUUUUAUAGUUUAGGCAACUGAAAACAGAGAGAUUAAACGAUUUCCCUAAGGUGACAUAGCAAAUUAGGAUUCCAUCUAUUCUAGAUCUAUCUGGCUCCAAAGACAAUUUCCUACCCCCUAACCCAUCCACCCAUACACACAUGUUCCUGGUUACCUACCCUGAAGAUAAUUUGAUAGCUUGGAGCAUGGCGUGCUCUGUUAAGUUUAACUUCACCCUGCCUGCUAGUGAAGCCCAGUUACACAGUGGAAUGUAUGAUUAAAGUACUGAACAGAUACAGAAGAAUGUAUUGCCCAGCCAUGACCUUCUAAUGUUUCACAGUUGAAGGAAGAUAAUCUUUGUUGUCUAGCUAUCAAAAGCCAGGAACUAUGUUAUUAUUUCCAAUUUUUGGAACAAUCUUAUAAGGAUAGUUAUAUCAGUUUGAUCUUCUGGGAAGCAGACACCUAAAUGGAAUUAUAAAUGCAAGAGAUUUAUUGGAGAAAUUUUAUUUUUAUGAAAAUAAGUUUAUUAACAUUUAUUCUAAUAAUUACUAGAGAAAAUUCUUGUGUCCUAUUAAAUUUGAGGGAUUUUAGCUGCUGAGAGGGUUGAUCAUUGAGUAGUUGUACAUAUAAUAUGGUUUGUUACAUCUGAAAUAGCUGGAAUCAAGAAAAGAUAUUUGCAUCUGUAAAAGUAAGUAAUAUAAUGAGCUACCUUAGGACUUGUACCCAGGUCAGAGAUUUCAAACAGCUCCAUGACUGGAAAGACAGCCUUGCGUUACCAUUAUCUCAGUAGGAUAAACACUUUAUCUUUUUAUAUCAUUGGUAAGAUAACCUGGAAUUUUGAACAGGCAGUCUGGAUGGAUAAGGUUACCUUGUACUUAACAUUUUCUAAACACUGUUUACUUUAUUAAACAUGUUCAAUUGAUACUGCACAGAUGUAGUAAUGCUGAGAAGGAAUAGUAUCCUCUAUUUUGGCAUGUGCGAAGAAAUCUUUGGAUUAUAAAAACCAGUAGUAACCUUAAAAUGUGUCUGCAUUUGCCCCUGCUUUACUUCAAGACCAUAAUUAUAAUUGUCAUCCAAAGAUUGGUGAUCACUGUGUCAUUUUAAUUCCUUUAGGAGAACUUGCGACUUACUUAAUUGGCCACCGUAUCUCCAGUCUGAAAAGUCAGCAAAUUACAUUGGCAGAGUAUCACAUUGCUAAAAAAUGAAAGGCAACAGUUUUUGGAAAGGGAAGCCUGUAAGAGCUCUGAAAAAAGUUAACGUUGUAGCCAGAAUUAAUCCUAGAUCCAGGGACUAUUGAAGCAAAAGGGGACCUUAAAGAGCACCUAAUAUAAUAUUUCCUAGACUAUAUUAUUUAUAAUAUGGGUCCUAUGUGAUAUCAGUAAGUGUUAUGGGAAAAUAAUCCUGAUACCAAAAAUGUUUGAGAAAACACUUAGGUGAACAAAGGUAGUCUGGUUUCUUUACUACAGAACCCUGAAUAUGCCAAUGUGUAUUUUAUAUCUCCAAUAGGACAAAUAGUAUGCACAGCUUCCCCUAAAAUUGUGACUGCAGAUCUGCUUUUCCAUUGAGCAUCCUAUGGGUCCAGUGGAACAUGUCUAGGGAAAGACUGACUUAGUCCAAUCUCCUCAUUUUACAAAUGAUGGAACUGAGACCAAGAGAACUGGCUUUUCAAAGGUUAUAUGCCUGGGCCAAAGUCAGCUUAAGAUCUCUUUCUCCUAGUCUAGCAAGACUAGAUGAUGAAUGGCAACAGGUCAGUUAUAUAUUCUGCUGGAAAGAAAAGUAUGGGUUUUGGCCAGGUGCAGUGGCUCAUGCCUGUAAUCCUAGACUUUGGGAGGCCAAGGCAGGUGGAUCACGAGGUCAGGAGUUUGAGACCAGCCUGACCAACAUGGUGAAUCCCCGUCUCUACUAAAAAUACAAAAAUUAGCUGGGCGUGGUGGUGCGCACCUGUAAUCCCAGCUACUCAGGAGGUUGAGGCAGAAUUGCUUGAACCUGGGAGGUGGAGGUUGCAGUGAGCUGAGACCAUGCCACUGCACUCCAGCCUGGGUGAC
rnacentral:sRNA from 1 species